rnacentral:rRNA from 1 species
AUGAACGCUAGCUACAGGCUUAACACAUGCAAGUCGAGGGGAAACGGCAUCGAAAGCUUGCUUUUGAUGGGCGUCGACCGGCGCACGGGUGAGUAACGCGUAUCCAACCUGCCCAUCACUUGGGAAUAACCUUGCGAAAGUAAGACUAAUGCCCAAUGACAUCCCACGAAGGCAUCCGAAUGGGAUUAAAGAUUUAUCGGUGAUGGAUGGGGAUGCGUCUGAUUAGCUUGUUGGCGGGGUGACGGCCCACCAAGGCAACGAUCAGUAGGGGUUCUGAGAGGAAGGUCCCCCACAUUGGAACGGAGACACGGUCCAAACGCCUACGGGAGGCAGCAGUGAGGAAUAUGGGUCAAUGGGCGAGAGCCUGAACCAGCCAAGUAGCGUGCAGGAUGACGGCCCUAUGGGUUGUAAACUGCUUUUAUAAGGGAAUAAAGUGGGUCACGUGUGACUUUUUGCAUGUACCUUAUGAAUAAGGACCGGCUAAUUCCGUG